AUUUAAAUAAUUUAAUUAUAAAAUAUUGAUUUGUGGUGUCAAAAAUGUGUGUGAUACACUUUAAAUU
rnacentral:tRNA from 1 species